AUUAACAUUAUCCAGAACCAACAGUUUCUCUAUUACUAUCGAUAACUCACCGGUCUUCAUUUCUUCCUCUGUGAAAAGUUUGGGUGUCAUCCUCGACUUUAUCUUUCAAUUCACACAUUAAUAAUGUUACUCGGUCUGCAUAUUUUCAAUUGCGCAACAUUAAUCGUCUCCAUCCUUUUCUCACCCCACAUGCUAAUGCCAUUCUUGUCCAUAGCCUUGUUACUUCCCGGAUUGAUUAUUGUAAUUCACUUCUUUUUGGUCUUACUCAAAAAUCCAUCCACAAGCUCCAACGCGUCCAGAACUCUGCUGCCCGUAUCAUCACCAGGACCCCUUCUGUCCACCACAUCACUCCUGCCUUGCAGCAGCUUCAUUGGCUCCCGGUCAAAUAUCGCAUCAAUUUCAAAAUACUCUUGUACACAUUUAAGGCUAUUCAUCAUCUCUCUCCUCCAUAUCUCUCUGAUCUGGUUAAGAUCACCGCCCCAUCUCGUUGUCUCAGAUCUUCUUCUUCCCUUUCACUCUCCGUCCCUUCCCCCCAUCUUGCAACCAUGGGCAGCAGGACUUUCAGCUGCUCUGCUCCACGACUCUGGAAUUCCCUAAAUCCUGAUUUAAGAAAUAUCUCUUCCUUCUCACUCUUUAAGUCCAAACUCAAAACCCACUUGUACAAAAUAGCUUAUCCCACAUAACCUCUCCACUCUGCUAUUUUAUUUGUUUAUGUCUUAUCCUUUUAUGUUGCUUUUAUUCUACCGUGUACAGUGACCUUGAGUGUUUUGAAAGGCGCUUUCAAAUAAAAUUUAUCAUUAUUAUUAUUAUUAUUAUUAUUAUUAUUAGUCUGGUGAGAUUAUUUUUCUCUGCAAUUCAUGAAUAGGCAUGUUACUGAACUUGCAUUUGAACAAGAAGAUGUGAUACAGAGUUUCCUCCAUGAAGAAUUUUCCUCAUCUUAAAAUGAAACAUGAAUCUUUUAAAGUAGACCAAAAGUUUCACAUUUCCAUGGUGGUUAGCUAGGGCCUUGUAUCUUAAUUGCAAAAUCCUAACUCUGAUAUGCUGAGACAGGCAGGAUUCACAUGGAUGAAUUUCUGGCUUCAACACUCUUAUUUGCCUUGAAUUGGGUAACAUCAUGCAUCGCUGAUCUAAAUUACAGAUCAAUUGCUUUGCUUUGUCUGUACUAUAAGUGGAGAGACAUUCAAGAUCUGAAGCACCAGUGCAGACAUUCAACAGUCAUGAUUAUUCACUUGUGAUUUGUGCAGUUUGGCAUCUAAAUGUAAGAAAUAAGUUAUUCAUUGCAGUGAAUAAUCACCCUGUCGUAUUUGAACAAAAUUACUCCGAGGAAGGCACCUCGGCUGAUGUUAAAGGCUAAUCAAAGCUUGGCUAGCUUGCCUUGUGAUGAUUGGUUACUAUUGCUAUGACAUUUGUGCCAGCAAAGUUACCCCCAAACAUCAGGAAAGCUUAUGUCAAACGUUGGAAGCAAUGCAUUGAUGUGAAUCCUGCCUUGACUUACAUAGGUGAUAAUACUGCAAGGGUUGACUCAGCUAAACAAACUUUAACUGACUAUAACUAUAACUGAUUCUUCUUCACAAAAAGAAGAACCUCACUACUUAGUACUCAUCUAUGUAAAGCUCCAAAAGGAGCCACUCACUGCAUUCAGAUCUGCUGUAAAAGCUUUGCUAUUCUAACAUUAAGAUAAGUAAAAGACUAUAUAAGCAAAGACACAGUUGUUAUGGAACAAAUGCAGACUAACUGAAAUGUAAAAUUAAAGUUUUAUAUUGUCAAGAAUAAACAGUGAAUAGUUUAGAGCAAAUACUCUCAAAAGUUGGAACAUUAUUUUACCCUGGCAGCUUAAGUUGCCGUCACACUGGAAACGAUUCCCUCAUUGCAUAUUUACUUUGAAGCUGACGACUGGUCACUUAGUAGAAUGCCGGGAAGUUGAGAGAUGUUUCUUGGGUCCUGCUCGCUUUGAGUCACCAGCUGUUAUUUUCCCCGUACUUGCUCGACGCGACUUUCUAUGGUCUCUGGUUGUUACAUCAGUGUAAAUUGUUUCCAGUAUGGAUGCAGCUUCAGUCUACAAAAAAAAAGACAGGCUUGACACUUGACGCAAGUAGUAAAAGCAUUAAUCCACUCUGUAGCAAUAAUGACAGUUAUACUCUGUGCUCUACAUAGAAUAAAAACUGUCAAAAUUACUAUGGGUUGCAAGAUGAGGCAGGUCAAACAUAGGCUGUUGUAAGAUUUUGUAAAAAAAUUCUAAAAUAAGCUAAUAAUUACCUGUUGUGACCAGACCACUUAAAUGGCUAAUCUUUUGUUUGUAAAUGGAAAACCUUCUAAGUGCAAUCAUUUAGUGUGAUAAACCAAAACUGCAUGGGCUUGACCAUUUUUAGAUAAAUACUAUCAUUUGGGAAAUGUCUAUUUAAAAUCUCUUUAGAAGUUAUUCCAUACAAAAUAAAAAAUGCCAUAGAUAAUCUUCUGCAGUUAUAACCUGUACAGCACUAUAACAUGAAAUCUUAAUGCUCUCAGCCCCACUGUAGCAGCUUCUCCAUAGACCGUAGUACACCAAUUGCUUUGGGAGGAAGCCAGCAGAUUGUUACUCCUGCUGAACCAUCAACACAUCCGGUACCACAGUGGAAUCCCCCUCCAGUGGAACGUCAUUCUCUAGAUAAUAGUGACCGUGCUGGUGAGGAAUUCCUGAGAUGCAUUGCAGCCAACAAACCUCUCCCAAACUAUCUGAAAGGCAACAUGGCAUACAACCUGGCUGACGCAUUUAAGUCAGCUAGUAUCUUGAAAGAAGCAGUCAAAUCAGACCGUGAAUUCCAGAAGCAUGUGCCUAGAAGCAAGAGCCGUAGUCGAAGCAGAAGCCGAGGCAGGUCUCGAGCCAAGAGUCGCGGUCGAAGCAAAAGCAGAGUACGCAGCCGAAGCAGGGGAAGAAGCAAAACUCAAGCCUGUGGGAAGAGUCGAGCUAGAAGCAAAAGUAGGGCUCGCAGUAGGAGUCGGAGCAACAGUCGAAGUGAGAAAAAAAGUCAUGUACGGAGCAAGAGUCGAGCAAGGCGAUCCAAGUCACGAAGUAGCAGUAGUGAAAAGAGCCGAGGCAAAGGCAAAAAGAAAAACAGGAGCCCCGGACUCAUCACUGUCAACAGCAGUAAUAAUCUGCCAGGAAAUAGUCUAUUAGAAGGAUUGAAGCUGGUUAUGAGCAGCCAAGAUUUGGAAGAUCACCUGCCAUCUCUCAAAGAUAUCAUCCUCACUAUUAAGGCUCCAGAUGAGGGCAAAAAAGUUGAGUGUGUAUCUAAUGAGCCUACACACAUGGAACAUGACAGUCAAGACAGUUUAUCAAUGCUGGAAAAGGAAAGCAUGCUGCUUCCGCAUGAAAGAGUUGGUGGUGAUUUCUCAUGGCUUCAAGGACAAAGUCAAGAAGAUGCUGCAUACCAGAAAGCUAAUGAACUUGAAGAUGAAGAGUCUUUCUUGUAUGGGAAUGAACCAGCUUCCCAGAUUAAUGAAAAGGCCAAACUACAGAAAGAGAGUAGUUCCCUUUCCACUCGUUGUGGACAUCUUCUUGAUCCAAAUCAGUCCCUGCAGUUGGCUUCUUCAACUUUAGUCCACUCCAAUCUGGACAACAUGGAAUAUGAGAAAAUCAAGACCAUAUUAAAAAGCCUGGGUUCAUCAAGUGAGAUCAAGGUGAAGACGCAGGGUCAGAAUGAGCAGGAGUCAUCUCCUACACUUGUCAAUUCAGACAAAGCAGCAGCAACUUUAGCAUUGCCAGCACUCAAUAACCCAAAUGUACGUCAGGCUCUGGAGUCUCUGCAAUCUCUGAUCAAAGCUACAAAGGAGAAACGAACAAAAAGUGACUGCGCAUCUCAAGCAUCUGAUAAACAUAAGGAGGGUGACAGUGAGGAAAGGAAGAGAGAGAAACAAGAGAAAGUAAAUAAAAUGGAGUCUUUGGCCAAAGAACUGGAUGAACUGUUAAAACAAGAUGGACUGGGUUUUAUAACUCCAGUUACUGGCUUUUACUGCCAGAACUGUGAGGAGUUCAUUGGAGAUUUGAAGUCUGCUGAAAACCAUGCAGCUAUCCGCCAUCAUAGUAACUCUAUUGCAAAAGAACAGACGGACAGGCACUCUAAAGACAUCAAAGGACACCCACAUCAUUACAGUCCCUCCAGUAAUCGACACCCUGACCCCCCAGACAGGAGAGAUCACAGGGGUUAUGGUUACCGCGGGGAUUCAGGAAACCACCGGAAUAGCACAGACCAUCUACGGAAUUGGAAGGAUGGCAAAGAUUUCAGAAGCCGAUACCAUGAUGAUGACCACAAAAGUCACAAGGAUAGAGAUAAAAACAUCUUCUUGAAAGAGGAAAUGAAAAAGGAGCGAAUGUUUAUAACAGUCUCCGAUGGACUGACACCUUCAACUUCUAACAUCAGGGUCAAGGAGGAGGUGGACAAGGAGAAGGCCACUGGAAGCCAUGGUAAAGUUAAAGCGAAAGACCUAGAAUCAUCCAAGGAAAAGAAAGGCAGCAUUGAAAAUGAUCAAUACAGUGAUAGCACUGAUGAUGACGGAAAAUCACCUAAAACAAAAAAGAAUAAAAAGAAAAAGAAGAAGAAGGAGAAGGAGAAGGAGAAAAAGAAUAAGAAUAAGAAACAGAAGGAGAAGUCUUAGGUGUUAUUUUGUCCUUGUCAUAUAACUCUGGGAUGAUGGUAGCAGCUUAUUUCUGGACUGAUUUUCUAACAUAGUUUUCUCACUUUCUUUUCCUCCACCCAAUUGUUUUUUGUUACUGUCAUUAGAAGAGGAAGGUAGACCUCAGAGUGAUUCAUCAUGUAUGAAGGAAUAGACUGAUAUGUUAGGAAGCACGUUUGUUGGUGGUCUUUCUCUAAAAGAAGAUUAGUAUUACUUUUGUCUUUGUGUAUCUAGUACAGUGGUCUUUACCUCACUUAGAACUAAGAUUGAUUUUUCUCAGUUAAUUCAGGUAUUUUUCCCCCACUUCAGACAGCGUGUUUGCUCGGUCAAAUUAAUUCUCAUGUGGAAUGAAAUGUUCUCAUGUGUUCCUCAGUAAACAGGCAAACAAAAACCUUUUCCAAGACGUCUGUUCCUUUUACACAUUCUGCACAGUUUUCAGCACUGUAUUAAAGUCUGCCACGUUUCAGGUAUGGCAUCACAUCUUGGUUCUAUUUUUUAAUUAAAUGUUCAAUAAAAUAAGCAGUAAGAAAAUAAGCAGUAAGAAAUUUUUUUCAUUUCAUUGGACCAACAGCAUUGUAGUUUUAGAAAAGGUAUACAUGUAUCUGACAUCUUGUAUUCAUUUUGAUCUCAAAUAAAGACGUAAAAUAAACAAAUGUGUACUAUUCCUUAGUUUUUGGGGUUUUCUUUCUUGAUUUUAUGUUUGAUAUUAUGUUUGAGUGGCUCCCAUCAGGAAGUACAUGUAGACUAUGCUUCCAGGAUGUAGGACACAAAAAAAAGGGUCACUAAUGUCCCUACAGCAUUUCAACAUCUGAACUGUAAGCCUUUCCCACCCCAGUAUUGCAUCCUUUUCUUGCUUCCUUCCCCACACAUUCAGUUCCUUGGUAAUUGAACUGAUCAUUGAAUCUGAACUAUGAUUGGUCAUUUUAUACUGAUGCUUUUAUGUUCUAUGUCUUAUGUGGUGGUCUCUGUGCCUUUUUAAUUGCCCC
ensembl:lncRNA